rnacentral:rRNA from 1 species
AGUGCUUGCACUUCGCUGACGACCGGCGAACGGGUGAGUAUCGCGUAUACAAUCUGCCUCAUACUAGGGAAUAGCCCGAAGAAAUUUGGAUUAAUACCCUAUAGUAUCUUUAUAAGGCAUCUUAUUAAGAUUAAAGGUUACGGUAUGAGAUGAGUAUGCGUUCUAUUAGCUAGUAGGUGUGGUAACGGCACACCUAGGCUACGAUAGAUAGGGGCCCUGAGAGGGGGAUCCCCCACACUGGUACUGAGACACGGACCAGACUCCUACGGGAGGCAGCAGUAAGGAAUAUUGGUCAAUGGACGAAAGUCUGAACCAGCCAUGCCGCGUGCAGGAUGACUGCCCUAUGGGUUGUAAACUGCUUUUAUAUAGGAAGAAAAACUUUCUCGUGAGAAAGCUUGACGGUACUAUAAGAAUAAGGAUCGGCUAACUCCGUGCCAGCAGCCGCGGUAAUACGGAGGAUCCAAGCGUUAUCCGGAAUCAUUGGGUUUAAAGGGUCCGUAGGUGGACAGAUAAGUCAGAGGUGAAAUCCUGCAGCUCAACUGUAGAACUGCCUUUGAUACUGUUUGUCUUGAGUUAUUAUGAAGUGGUUAGAAUGUGUAGUGUAGCGGUGAAAUGCAUAGAUAUUACACAGAAUACCGAUUGCGAAGGCAGAUCACUAAUAAUUAACUGACACUGAGGGACGAAAGCGUGGGUAGCGAACAGGAUUAGAUACCCUGGUAGUCCACGCCGUAAACGAUGGUCACUAGCUGUUUGGACUUCGGUCUGAGUGGCUAAGCGAAAGUGAUAAGUGACCCACCUGGGGAGUACGUCG